AAACGAUGAGAGAAAAGAAUUGGGGAACGACGUCCCCUGUUCUUCUUUGUUCAUUGUUGUAAUUCAUUUCUCACCUUCUUCUUCGUUCCUCUUAUCCUAGUCAUUUAGUUGAUAAAAAAUCUGAAAUUUCGUUAUAAAUCUUGAGAAACAGUCAAUUGCUUUCGUAUAUCUCAAUAUUGAAAAAGAUAAUUUCAAAACGGUAUCUAAGGUGCUUACGGCUACAAAGGAUGGACGAUCGAUUUGAACUUAAUCGAUUAAAAAGGGAGGUGUUUUGGGAUUUUGAUAAUUCCUAAAACCAAUCGAUCAUCUGGAAAUUGGCUCACUGAUUUAACCUGUGAGGUGCGUUUUGUUCAUCUUUCGGAGGAAACAACUGCUGGAUACAUAAACUUUCGAGCAACCUAUGGAAGGCUCUUUCAUUGUGUUGAAGAUAAACUACAAUUAGAUAAGUAUUUUGAUCCUUGGGAAAAUUAAUAUUAACAGGAAGUGAUUGCUUAAGCCUAUUUAAAUGCUAAGUGGCUUUUUGUUAUAUCUUUGUAGGUGACCUGAAAACAUCAUAUAAUUACCGAAAACAAAGGCUGGGAACUUUCUUCAUCGUACAGAGGAGUAACUUCAUUUCAGAAGGUUUUUAGUAUUACCUUUUGGAGGAUUGUUUGGCGUCUGUCUUCUCAUAAAGUGAGGUAUUAAAUAUUACCUUUGGAAGAAUUGUCUUGCGUCUGCCUUCUCAUAAAGUGAGAUCAUCAAUAAGAUGGUUUGUUCCAACUGGAGUGUAGUAUUGUCGUAUAUCCAUGGCAGCCAGAUUAGAGUUACCCUCUGCACAACAGGUGACUGGACCUAAGGUACGAAGGAUACAUUAGUAAAUGAUUGUGGACUAAAAAAGAAAACAGCAUCUUGAACAGGUAGAUUCAGAGAUUAAGCAAGGUUGAGCUUUAUUUGAAAAAAAUUACAACGAUUAAAGGAGCCAUUGUUGUUUUUUCAACAAACAGAAGAUGCACGGGAUGAAGAGUGUAUGGAUUCGACCUUGGAGUUACAACAAUUUUGAAGAAGUUCAAGAGAUACCAUUAGCCUUCCUUGAGCCUCCUUGCUUCCUCCAUCCUUCCCUGCACCAGCCUUCUUUGCCGCAGCCAGAAUCUCCGCCUUUGUGAGCUUCUCCUUUUUGAUGUUAACAACGUUGAUGUGGUCCAAACAAAGUUUCUUAGUAGCUGAAGAUGUAUCAACAGGAACAUCUGUAUCACCGCUUGAUCUCUUAGAAGAAGGAUUUGAAGAUUCAGAAACAUCUUCACUACUUGUGGAUUAUCUCUACCAUUGGACAGGUCAGUACCAUCAUCAUCGAGAACUCCAUCUUUAGAAAGCACUUUUGAAACCUUGUAGGUAUCCCAGUCAUUCCACAAGUUGUCAUGAUGAAUACUCACCAGAAAUUUAUAGGUUUUUCCAACCAAAUCUUUGAUGUCUUGUGGCAAAUUUUCUGGAUCUUCCAUCUGUAAUAGUUUAGAUUAAUAUAUUAGUAUAUAAUUUUAGAUUUAUUUUAAAUAUAUUCUUUGAAACUAA